rnacentral:rRNA from 1 species
AUUGGACGCUGGCGGCAGGCCUAACACAUGCAAGUCGAGCGGAUGAAGGGAGCUUGCUCCUGGAUUCAGCGGCGGACGGGUGAGUAAUGCCUAGGAAUCUGCCUGGUAGUGGGGGAUAACGUCCGGAAACGGGCGCUAAUACCGCAUACGUCCUGAGGGAUAAAGUGGGGGAUCUUCGGACCUCACGCUAUCAGAUAAGCCUAGGUCGGAUUAGCUAGUUGGUGGGGUAAAGGCCUACCAAGGCGACGAUCCGUAACUGGUCUGAGAGGAUGAUCAGUCACACUGGAACUGAGACACGGUCCAGACUCCUACGGGAGGCAGCAGUGGGGAAUAUUGGACAAUGGGCGAAAGCCUGAUCCAGCCAUGCCGCGUGUGUGAAGAAGGUCUUCGGAUUGUAAAGCACUUUAAGUUGGGAGGAAGGGCAGUAAGUUAAUACCUUGCUGUUUUGACGUUACCAACAGAAUAAGCACCGGCUAACUUCGUG